AUGGAGAAACAACCGAGCGGCUGGCGUGGGAGCAACGGCGGCCACGAGGAGAGUCUGCCCCUGCGCGGCGGCGGCGGCCUGGAGACGGAGGCAAGGGCGCCGCACCCCCACGCCGCGGACCAGCAGGAGGCGGGGCGGGGCAGGCACCGGCGCAACUGCGCGCGCGCCGCGCUGCUGCUCUGCCUGCUCACGCUCCCGGCCUGCAUCCUCGCCCUCUGGAACCUGCGGGCCGACUCCUCGUCGCAGAUGCUCUUCGACGUCGACCUCCCAAAGGACGACGACGACGACGGCCAAGAUAUAAGAGAUGAUAUGCCUGAUGAUUUAUCUCCAUCGGCACAAAUUGAUUAUGACAGACUUCUGGGUGGCCUUCUGAUCGAGGGAUUUGAUGAAAGAUCGUGUCGCAGCAGGUACCAGUUUGCACGUUAUCACAGGAAUGCAGCAAGAGUACUUUCUCCAUACCUCAUAGAAAGAUUAAGGAGACAAGAAGCACUGCAGAAGAAGUGUGGUCCAGGCACCAAAUCAUACAACAAUGCUGUAAAACAGCUCAGGUCCACUCAGAGCAUCAACGGCACAUCGGAUUGCAACUAUCUCUUCUUGAUAAUCCAUGCCGGGAUGGGUAACCGGAUGCUUGAGAUCACUUCAGCGUUUCUUUACGCACUUUUGACAGGCAGGGUUUUGCUCGUGGACCGUUAUAAGCAGAUUGCCAACACUUUCUGUGAGCCUUUUCCUGGAACUUCAUGGUUGAUUCCUUCAGAUUUCCCUCUGAGCUAUAAUGAGUUCACCAAGCAUAGUCCAGAGAGCUAUGGUAACAUGUUGCAGGAAAAUGUUAUCCGUGGCAACACAUAUCGGUCUCUAGCCAGUGCUAGGCCUCCCUAUGUGUACCUCCAUCUUGAUGGUGACUACGCUUUCCACGACAAGCUUUUCUAUUGCGAAGACGAUCAACAGUUCCUGCAAGGUGUGCCGUGGCUGAUCAUGCGGACCGACAUGUACUUUGUGCCGUCACUGUUUCUUAUCCCAAGUUUCCAAGAUGAACUGAGCAAGCUGUUUCCUGAGAAGGACACCGUUUUCCAUCACUUGGGCCGGUAUCUUCUUCAUCCAACAAAUGAUAUCUGGUAUUCGGCGACAACGUACUACAGGGCCUACCUUGCUAAAGCUGAUAAAGUAGUGGGGAUUCAGAUCAGAAUAUUUGAAAAGAAGGGCAUCUUGCAAAGAAAUGGGCCAUUUCCACACGUUUUAGAACAGAUCCUUUCUUGUGCUCAAGGUGAAAAGCUGCUGCCAGAAAUCGGUGUGACCGAUGAAGCUGCCGCUCGGAAUAACCGGACAAUCGCCGUUCUCGCGACCUCUUUGAGCUCUUGGUACAGUGAUCAGAUUAGGGAAAGGUACAGCGAGCACCACACCGUCGACGGCACCACGGUGAAAGUUUACCAGCCGAGCCACGAGGAGUACCAGAAGAAGAAGAACAGGAAGCACAACAUGAAGGCGCUGGCGGAGAUCUACCUGCUGAGCAUGAGCGAUGUGCUCAUCACCAGCGGCUUCUCCACCUUCGGCUACGUCGCGCAGGGCCUCGCCGGCCUCACGCCGUGGAUCAUGUACAGGCCCGAGAACCAUGUCGUGCCGGAGCCGCCGUGCGGCCGUGCCAUGUCCAUCGAGCCGUGCUUCCACCAGGCCCCCUACUUCGACUGCAAGGCCAAGAGGGACGCCGACCUGGGCAAGGUGGUGCCGUACGUGAGGCACUGCGAGGACGUCAGCUGGGGCCUCAAGAUUGUAAAUGAAACUCGGUUGUAG
rnacentral:rRNA from 1 species